AUUUAUAUAGUUUAGGAAAAACAUUACAUUUUCACUGUAAAAACAAAGAAAGCUUUUAUAAAUA
rnacentral:tRNA from 1 species